AGCCGACCUGGGCUGGCCCGUGGGACUCUGUUCCACCUCACACGUCCCUCCUCUUCUUCUGGGACCCGUGGGCCAUCCCCGGUGUCUCUGGUGACGGUGGUGGCACGAGGCAGAAGCACGGGCGCCAGAACCCUGCUUGUAUUUGGGGCGCCAGUGGUCAGCAGAAAGCAGCUACUCUCUCCUAGACUGCCUCGCAGUGAGGAGUGGCCCUGUGAUCCAGCUGAAUGCAUGCCUGAUGGGUCCACCGAACCUUCUCUGGGCUCCUGACAGGAUGAGAAGAUGCAUUUUCCUGAUGUUUAAGCCAGUUUGCAUUGGGUUUUCCCGUCCUCGCCUUUGAAUGCAUCUUAAUGAAUACCUGAGCUUUGC